rnacentral:rRNA from 1 species
GACGAACGCUGGCGGCGUGCCUAAUACAUGCAAGUAGAACGCACAGUUUAUACCGUAGCUUGCUACACCAUAGACUGUGAGUUGCGAACGGGUGAGUAACGCGUAGGUAACCUGCCUGGUAGCGGGGGAUAACUAUUGGAAACGAUAGCUAAUACCGCAUAAUAUUAAUUAUUGCAUGAUAAUUAAUUGAAAGGUGCAAUUGCACCACUACCAGAUGGACCUGCGUUGUAUUAGCUAGUAGGUGAGGUAACGGCUCACCUAGGCGACGAUACAUAGCCGACCUGAGAGGGUGAUCGGCUACACUGGGACUGAGACACGGCCCAGACUCCUACGGGAGGCAGCAGUAGGGAAUCUUCGGCAAUGGACGAAAGUCUGACCGAGCAACGCCGCGUGAGUGAAGAAGGUUUUCGGAUCGUAAAGCUCUGUUGUAAGAGAAGAACGGGUGUGAGAGUGGAAAGUUCACACUGUGACGGUAUCUUACCAGAAAGGGACGGCUAACUACGUG